UACGUAGGGUGCGAGCGUUGUCCGGAAUUAUUGGGCGUAAAGAGCUCGUAGGCGGUUUGUCGCGUCUGCUGUGAAAUCCCAGGGCUUAACCCUGGGCCUGCAGUGGGUACGGGCAAACUAGAGUGCGGUAGGGGAGAUCGGAAUUCCUGGUGUAGCGGUGAAAUGCGCAGAUAUCAGGAGGAACACCGGUGGCGAAGGCGGAUCUCUGGGCCGUAACUGACGCUGAGGAGCGAAAGCAUGGGUAGCGAACAGG
rnacentral:rRNA from 1 species